GCCUUCUUAGUGCAGUAGGCAGCACAUCAGUCUCAUAAGCUGAAGGUCCUGAGUUUGAACUUCAAUGGGCG
rnacentral:tRNA from 1 species